ACUUUUAGAAAUGACGGUGCCAGGAGUUGCCCGGAGCAGUUACAUCCCAGCCGGUUUAGCAGCUGCCGUCUUCAGCGUUCUCCCUCGAUACUGUACGGAUUACAAAAAUGGUUGUCCCCAUUAUUCACUUAGACACAAAAUCAU